GAUGAACGCUGGCGGCGUGCUUAACACAUGCAAGUCGAACGGUGAACACGGAGCUUGCUCUGUGGGAUCAGUGGCGAACGGGUGAGUAACACGUGAGCAACCUGCCCCUGACUCUGGGAUAAGCGCUGGAAACGGCGUCUAAUACUGGAUAUGUGACGUGACCGCAUGGUCUGCGUUUGGAAAGAUUUUUCGGUUGGGGAUGGGCUCGCGGCCUAUCAGCUUGUUGGUGAGGUAGUGGCUCACCAAGGCGUCGACGGGUAGCCGGCCUGAGAGGGUGACCGGCCACACUGGGACUGAGACACGGCCCAGACUCCUACGGGAGGCAGCAGUGGGGAAUAUUGCACAAUGGGCGCAAGCCUGAUGCAGCAACGCCGCGUGAGGGAUGACGGCCUUCGGGUUGUAAACCUCUUUUAGCAGGGAAGAAGCGAAAGUGACGGUACCUGCAGAAAAAGCGCCGGCUAACUACGUG
rnacentral:rRNA from 1 species